UUAUUAUUUGAAAGGAGAGACGGUUGGCAUUCCCUUUGACGAGGAUGAAACACGUAAAAUUGUUCAGGGCAUGAUCAAACAUUUUUU